AGCCACAACAGCCCGCUGGCUCGCACGGGGUGCUCUUCAUCGAGUGUCCCGCGNUGGCCGGCAGAGUUUACUUUGAAAAAAUUAGAGUGCUCAAAGCAGGCUACACUGACGGCCUGAAUGCCUAUGCAUGGAAUAAUGGAAUAGGACCUCGGUUCUAUUUUGUCGGUUUUCUGAACCCGAGGUAAUGACUAAUAGGAACAGGCGGGGGCAUUCGUAUUGCGACGCUAGAGGUGAAAUUCUUGGACCGUCGCAAGACGAACUACUGCGAAAGCAUUUGCCAAGGAUGUUUUCAUUAAUCAAGAACGAAAGUUAGAGGUUCGAAGGCGAUCAGAUACCGCCCUAGUUCUAACCAUAAACGAUGCUGACCAGCGAUCCGCCGGCGUUAUUCCCAUGACCCGGCGGGCAGCUUCCGGGAAACCAAAGUCUUUGGGUUCCGGGGGAAGUAUGGUUGCAAAGCUGAAACUUAAAGGAAUUGACGGAAGGGCACCACCAGGAGUGGAGCCUGCGGCUUANUUUGACUCAACACGGGGAACCUCACCAGGCCCAGACACCGGAAGGAUUGACAGAUUGAGAGCUCUUUCUCGAUUCNGUGGGUGGUGGUGCAUGGCCGUUCUUANUUGGUGGAUCGAUUUGUCUGGUUUAAUUCCNAUAA
rnacentral:rRNA from 1 species